rnacentral:piRNA from 1 species
UGCAGCCAGUUCAUGUGCCCUUGGUUUC